rnacentral:lncRNA from 1 species
CUUCACAUGGUUUAGGAUGGUACGACCCCUUCAGGGUUUAGAAUAGGUACAGACCCUUCAGAGGGUUUAGGAUAGGUACAGACCCCUUCAGAGGGUUUAGAAUAGGUACAGACCCCUUCAGAGGGUUUAGAAUAGGUACAGACCCCUUCAGAGGGUUUAGGAUAGGUACAGACCCCUUCACAUGGUUUAGGAUAGGUACAGACCCCUUCACAUGGUUUAGGAUAGGUACAGACCGCUUCACAUGGUUUAGGAUAGGUACAGACCCCUUCACAUGGUUUAGGAUAGGUACAGCCACAACUGUCAUUAAGAGUGUCCACGAUUGAGUCUUUGAAUGAAGAGACUUGAGAUAAAACUGUCCAGUUUGAGUGUGCAGCGAACUAGCUGCAGUGAACUGAAAAGACGAGCAACCCYGGGUUAUUAACUCCAAUACUGGGGGUUAUUUUACAGAGUGAAUUUAAUUCCUGAAUCAACACWAUAAAUGUUARACUGAAAAUUCAACAUGGGGCAAUUUGCUGUGUAGAGAGAAAAGUGCAUAAAAGUGAAUUCCAUUCCAUUUACCCGCUUAACUCGGGUGGGAAUUCCCCACUAUGUGCCAACAGGAUGUACUCUGUCAAUCUAACCUGUAUGCUAAAUGCACGGAGAAAGAACGAGCUGUUCAUAACCCCGUAUGACAAUAAUAUACCAUAUAAAAUCCUAGUGGUCAGCUGAAAAAACUAAUCAAAUGAAAAGUCGUUCAUUCCAGAAUUUGGUUUUACUUUUAUUACGAUGUUGAUAAAAACACAAGUCAUCCCACAGUCAGACAGAUGAAGCAACAGAAYCACUAUCUUCUUCUGGUUCUUCUGUGUGUCCAUUACAUUCCGAUCAGGAGGGUCUCCAGGUAAACAAACAACAACAACAACAACAAACAUGAUUGUGAGAUCACUUCCCAAAUGGCUCCCGAUUCCCGCCUUUUGAGAAGAUCACAUCAGCACUAUAAAGGGAACAGGGUGUCUUUUGGGAAGAUCACAUCAGCACUAUAAAGGGAACAGGGUGUCUUUUGGGAAGAUCACAUCAGCACUAUAAAGGGAACAGGGUGUCUUUUGAGAAGAUCACAUCAGCACUAUAAAGGGAACAGGGUGCUAGCAUAAAGGAGGAGAUUAUAUAGUAACAGAUUGUAAAGGAGAGAUGAUAUUAACAGAUAUAGCUAAAGAGAGAUGAUAUAGUAAAGAUAUAGAGUAAAGGAGAGAUGAUUAGUAACAGAUAUAGCAUAAGGAGAGCUAUAGUAACAUAUAUAGAAUAAAGGAGAGAUGAUAUAGUAACAGAUAUAGCAUAAAGAGAGAAGAGAUGAUAUAGUAAACAGAGAUAUAGCUAAGGAAGAGAUAUAUGUAAAGACAUAGAAUAAGGA